rnacentral:misc_RNA from 1 species
AUGUCUUCUCCAGUUUCUCCUUCUUGUUGUCCUACUUUUCCAAUAUAGAAAAAUUAGGCUAAAUCAAAUGUUUGUCAAGCUAGCAUAAGAAAUCUGACAUAUAAGCACCUAAAUAUUUACUUAGGCAUGGCUACUUGCUAUUUGGUUGCUUUUGAACUUCUGCUUCUACUUCUUUUACAUUGUUAACGGCAACUUGAAUUUUCUUCGACAUAAGCUCCAUCUGCUGCUCAACAUUUUCCAAA